AGCAACUUGACGCAGUGGAAGCGUGCAGGGCUCAUAGAGGGCACCCUGAAGUCCCUGGAUCGAAACCAGGAGUUGCUA